GUCCCUCUGCGGGACCCGUGAGGACGAGACACGAAUCCCUGACUAUGUCGACCAGGGGGCUUCAUCGGCCGUGGUGAGCAGACCCGGCUAGCUUCAUCGGGAAGCCUGAAGCGGUCCGAAAUCGGCUCCCACCUACUGAGUACGGUAGGGGUUCGACUCAACCACCCACGAUCUCCGCGGUAAGGAC
rnacentral:other from 3 species